rnacentral:rRNA from 1 species
CCUACGGGAGGCAGCAGUGGGGAAUAUUGCACAAUGGGGGCAACCCUGAUGCAGCGACGCCGCGUGGGUGAAGGAGCGUUUCGGCGCGUAAAGCCGUAUCGGCAGGGAAGAAAAUGACGGUACCUGAACAAGAAGCCCCGGCUAACUACGUGCCAGCAGCCGCGGUAAUACGUAGGGGGCAAGCGUUAUCCGGAUUUACUGGGUGUAAAGGGGGCGCAGACGGCAAUGCAAGCCAGGAGUGAAAGCCCGGGGCCCAACCCCGGGACUGCUUUUGGUACUGCAUGGCUGGAGUAUAGGAGGGGCAGGCGGAAUUGAUGGUGUAGCGGUGAAAUGCGUAGAUAUUAGGAGGAGCACCGGUGGCGAAGGCGGCCUGCCGGGCUGUGACUGACGUUGAGGCCCGAAGGCGUGGGGAGCAAACAGGAUUAGAUACCCGGGUAGUC